UACGUAGGGUGCAAGCGUUGUCCGGAAUUAUUGGGCGUAAAGAGCUCGUAGGCGGUUCGUCGCGUCGGCUGUGAAAACCUGAGGCUCAACCUCAGGCCUGCAGUCGAUACGGGCGGACUUGAGUACUGCAGGGGAGACUGGAAUUCCUGGUGUAGCGGUGAAAUGCGCAGAUAUCAGGAGGAACACCGGUGGCGAAGGCGGGUCUCUGGGCAGUAACUGACGCUCAGGUGCGAAAGCCAGGGGAGCGAACGGG
rnacentral:rRNA from 1 species